GCCGCGUUGGCGUAGUGGUAGCGCGUCUCACUCGUAUUCAAGUCCUCCUGACACGAGUUCGAUGAGAAGGUCACUCGUUCAAUCCGGGUACGCGGCA